rnacentral:rRNA from 1 species
AACGAACGCUGGCGGCAGGCCUAACACAUGCAAGUCGAACGCUGUAGCAAUACAGAGUGGCAGACGGGUGAGUAACUCGUGGGAACAUGCCCUUCGGUUCGGAAUAACUCAGGGAAACUUGAGCUAAUACCGGAUACGCCCUUAGGGGGAAAGAUUUAUUGCCGAAGGAUUGGCCCGCGUCCGAUUAGCUAGUUGGUGAGGUAAUGGCUCACCAAGGCGACGAUCGGUAGCUGGUCUGAGAGGAUGAUCAGCCACACUGGGACUGAGACACGGCCCAGACUCCUACGGGAGGCAGCAGUGGGGAAUAUUGGACAAUGGGCGCAAGCCUGAUCCAGCCAUGCCGCGUGAGUGAUGAAGGCCCUAGGGUUGUAAAGCUCUUUCGCCAGGGACGAUAAUGACGGUACCUGGAUAAGAAGCCCCGGCUAACUUCGUGCCAGCCGCCGCCGUAAGAC